AUUGCACAGACAACCAGGAUGUUGGCUUAGAAGCAGCCACUCAUUUAAAGAGUGCGUAAUAGCUCACUGGUCGAGUGAUCCUGCGCCGAAAAUUUCCGGGGCUAAAACGUACUACCGAAGCUACGGCAUCAUUUAUGAUGGGUAGGGGAGCUUCGUAUGCAGGCUGAAGCAUGACCGUAAGGACAUGUGGACAGUAUACGAGUGAGAAUGUUGGCAUGAGUAGCGAGACGUGGGUGAGAAUCCCACGGGCCGUAAACCCAAGGUUUCCAGGGGAAGGUUCGUCCGCCCUGGGUUAGUCGGGACCUAAGCCGAGGCCGAAAGGCGUAGGUGAUGGACAACAGGUUGAUAUUCCUGUACCGCCAAUAAGCGUUUGAGAGAUGGAGUGACACAGUAGGAUAAGCUAACCGUACUGUUGGUUAUGUACGGCUAAGCAUUGAGGCAGUCUAAAUAGGCAAAUCCGUUUAGACAAUGCUAGGAUGUGAUGGGGAAGCCCUUCGGGGCGAAGUAGCUGAUUUCACACUGUCAAGAAAAGCUUCUAUCGAGUUUAAAGGCGCCCGUACCGUAAACCGACACAGGUGGGUGAGGAGAGUAUCCUAAGGCCAGCGAGAGAACUAUUGUUAAGGAACUCGGCAAAAUGACCCCGUAACUUAGGGAGAAGGGGUGCCUGUCUAUGACAGGCCGCAGAGAAUAGGCCCAAGCGACUGUUUACCAAAAACACAGGUUUCUGCUAAGUCGCAAGACGAUGUAUAGGAGCUGACGCCUGCCCGGUGCUGGAAGGUUAAGGGGAUCUGUUAGAGCAAUCGAAGCAGUGAACUUAAGCCCCAGUAAACGGCGGCCGUAACUAUAACGGUCCUAAGGUAGCGAAAUUCCUUGUCGGGUAAGUUCCGACCCGCACGAAAGGCGUAACGAUUUGGGCACUGUCUCAACAAUAGACUCGGUGAAAUUGUAAUCCCGGUGAAGAUGCCGGGUACCUGCGACAGGACGGAAAGACCCCAUGGAGCUUUACUGUAGCUUGACGUUGGGUCUUGGUACUACAUGUACAGGAUAGGUGGGAGACUAUGAAGCAUGGACGCCAGUCUGUGUGGAGUCAUCCUUGGGAUACCACCCUUGUAGUACUGGGAUCCUAACCAUAGGCCUUGAAUCAGGUCUUGGAACACCGUCAGGUGGGCAGUUUGACUGGGGCGGUCGCCUCCUAAAAAGUAACGGAGGCGCUCAAAGGUUUCCUCAGCACGGUCGGAAAUCGUGCGAAGAGUGUAAAGGCAAAAGGAAGCUUGAUUGCAAGACAUACAGGUCGAGCAAGGACGAAAGUCGGACUUAGUGAUCCGGUGGUACCGCAUGGAAGGGCCAUCGCUCAACGGAUAAAAGCUACCCUGGGGAUAACAGGCUUAUCUCCCCCAAGAGU
rnacentral:rRNA from 1 species